rnacentral:rRNA from 1 species
ACGUGAUAGCCUGCGAAAAGCUCCGGGGAGGCGGCAAAUAUCCUUUGAUCCGGAGAUGUCUGAAUGGGGGAACCCACCUACUUUAAGGUAGGUAUUGCAACAUGAAUACAUAGUGUUGCAAGGCGAACGAGGGGAAGUGAAACAUCUCAGUACCCUUAGGAAAAGAAAUCAAUUGAGAUUCCCUCAGUAGCGGCGAGCGAACGGGGAUCAGCCCAUUAAGUUAUGUGUGUUUUAGUGGAACGCUCUGGGAAGUGCGAACGUAGAGGGUGAUAUUCCCGUACACGAAAGGGCACACAUAAUGAUGACGAGUAGGGCGAGGCACGUGAAACCUUGUCUGAAUAUGGGGGGACCAUCCUCCAAGGCUAAAUACUCCUGACUGACCGAUAGUGAACCAGUACCGUGAGGGAAAGGCGAAAAGAACCCCUGUGAGGGGAGUGAAAUAGAUCCUGAAACCGCAUGCAUACAAGCAGUGGGAGCACCUUCGUGGUGUGACUGCGUACCUUUUGUAUAAUGGGUCAGCGACUUAUAUUCAGUAGCGAGGUUAACCGUAUAGGGGAGCCGUAGAGAAAUCGAGUCUUAAUAGGGCGUUUAGUUGCUGGGUAUAGACCCGAAACCAGGCGAUCUAUCCAUGAGCAGGUUGAAGGUUGGGUAACACUAACUGGAGGACCGAACCCACUGUCGUUGAAAAGCCAGGGGAUGACUUGUGGAUAGGGGUGAAAGGCUAAUCAAGCCUGGUGAUAGCUGGUUCUCCCCGAAAGCUAUUUAGGUAGCGCCUCGGACGAAUACCAUAGGGGGUAGAGCACUGUUUCGGCUAGGGGGUCAUCCCGACUUACCAAACCGAUGCAAACUCCGAAUACCUAUGAGUACUAUCCGGGAGACAGACUGCGGGUGCUAACGUCCGUAGUCAAGAGGAAAACAAUCCAGACCGCCAGCUAAGGCCCCAAAAUCAUAGUUAAGUGGGAAACGAUGUGGGAAGGCAUAGACAGCUAGGAGGUUGGCUUAGAAGCAGCCACCCUUUAAAGAAAGCGUAAUAGCUCACUAGUCGAGUCGGCCUGCGCGGAAGAUGUAACGGGGCUAAAACUAUGUGCCGAAGCUGCGGAUGUAUACUUUGUAUACGUGGUAGGGGAGCGUUCUGUAAGCCGAUGAAGGUGUGUUGAGAAGCAUGCUGGAGGUAUCAGAAGUGCGAAUGCUGACGUGAGUAACGACAAAACGGGUGAAAAACCCGUUCGCCGAAAGACCAAGGGUUCCAGUCCAACGUUAAUCGGGGCUGGGUGAGUCGACCCCUAAGGCGAGGCCGAAAGGCGUAGUCGAUGGGAAAAUGGUUAAUAUUCCAUUACUUCUGUGUAAUGCGAUGAGAGGACGGAGAAGGCUAAAUCAGCCUGGCGUUGGUUGUCCAGGUGAAAGGAUGUAGGCAUGUAUCUUAGGCAAAUCCGGGGUACUCUAUGCUGAGAUCUGAUAGCAAGCUGUACUUGUACAGCGAAGUGGUUGAUGCCAUGCUUCCAGGAAAAGUCUCUAAGCUUCAGUUACACAGGAAUCGUACCCGAAACCGACACAGGUGGUCAGGUCGAGUAGACCAAGGCGCUUGAGAGAACUCUGCUGAAGGAACUAGGCAAAAUGGUACCGUAACUUCGGGAGAAGGUACGCUGUUGUUGGUGAUGGAACUCGCUUCCUGAGCUGACGACAGCCGCAGAAACCAGGCCGCUGCAACUGUUUAUUAAAAACAUAGCACUCUGCAAACACGAAAGUGGACGUAUAGGGUGUGAUGCCUGCCCGGUGCUGGAAGGUUAAUUGAUGGGGUUAGCGUAAGCGAAGCUCUUGAUCGAAGCCCCAGUAAACGGCGGCCGUAACUAUAACGGUCCUAAGGUAGCGAAAUUCCUUGUCGGGUAAGUUCCGACCUGCACGAAUGGCAUAAUGAUGGCGGCGCUGUCUCCAGCAGAGGCUCAGUGAAAUCGAAAUCGCUGUGAAGAUGCAGUGUACCCGCGGCUAGACGGAAAGACCCCGUGAACCUUUACUGCAGCUUGACACUGAACUUUGACCUUACUUGUGUAGGAUAGGUGGGAGGCUUUGAAGCUGGAACGCUAGUUCCAGUGGAGCCGUCCUUGAAAUACCACCCUGGUAAUGUUGAGGUUCUAACUCUGUCCCGUGAUCCGGGACGAGGACCGUGUCUGGUGGGUAGUUUGACUGGGGCGGUCUCCUCCUAAAGAGUAACGGAGGAGUACGAAGGUGCGCUCAGCGUGGUCGGAAAUCACGCGUAGAGUAUAAAGGCAAAAGCGCGCUUAACUGCGAGACCCACAAGUCGAGCAGGUACGAAAGUAGGUCUUAGUGAUCCGGUGGUUCUGUAUGGAAGGGCCAUCGCUCAACGGAUAAAAGGUACUCUGGGGAUAACAGGCUGAUACCGCCCAAGAGUUCAUAUCGACGGCGGUGUUUGGCACCUCGAUGUCGGCUCAUCUCAUCCUGGGGCUGAAGCAGGUCCCAAGGGUAUGGCUGUUCGCCAUUUAAAGAGGUACGCGAGCUGGGUUUAGAACGUCGUGAGACAGUUCGGUCCCUAUCUACCGUGGGCGCUGGAAAUUUGAGAGGAUCUGCUCCUAGUACGAGAGGACCAGAGUGGACGAACCUCUGGUGUACCGGUUGUGACGCCAGUCGCAUCGCCGGGUAGCUAUGUUCGGAAGGGAUAACCGCUGAAAGCAUCUAAGCGGGAAGCCUACCUCAAGAUAAGAUUUCCCUAGGACUUUAUGUCCUCUAAAGAGCCGUUCGAGACUAGGACGUUGAUAGGUUGGAUGUGGAAGCAUAGUGAUAUGUGAAGCUGACCAAUACUAAUUGCUCGUGAGGCUUGACUAU